rnacentral:lncRNA from 1 species
GCCUGCCUCGCUGUCCUGAGGUUUAAGGAAGAUGAUGCCUAUACAGUGACUUGCAUGGUAUUUGUUACUCAGUGGGGUACUCAAUAAAUGUUUUGCUCCCCACACCAGUGUCUCUCUUCAUACAGGCAUGUAAUCCAUACAUGGAAACUCACAGCCAGUAUCAUUUCAGAAUUCAGAAUUUCCGUAUUCAUAAUACCUGCAUUGGGUCUGAGGCAGCACGCUAUAAAUUACAUUAAUAUACUUCAGUGAUACGUCUGAAUACAUGGCAUAUGCUUAAAAAGUGGAAUAAAGUCUAUAAAUGGCUUCAAAUCAGUCUGGUCAGAUUUGCUAUCAAACAAGUGUUGCAAAAUUCUCAAAGAGCUUUCUGUUUUCAGAGUCCUUGGGGCUUUAGAACCAUGGCUAAGGGCCUGUGGACCUGUGUUGCAUUUAUUGUUAAAGACGUCGCAUCCCCACCAGAUAUUAAGGUCAGGUUUAGCGUUUGGUUUCCUGAGUGCCUGCCUCACAGCAGAAAAACAAUAACCGCUUUGAAAGGACUGAGUAAUGGAGGAAAGGAUUCUGCUCCUCAGACAGAUCUGCUCUUCCAAAAGGUGGUAUCAUGUAGUCGUUAAGAGCACAGACUCUGGAAUUUAACAUUUUGCAUUCAAAACCUACUUACUACUGGCUGGAUGAUCUUAGGUAAGUUAUUGACUUCUCUGUACCCCCUCAUUCUCAUUUAUAAAAAGGCAAUGUUAAAUAGUACUCACCUCACUGGCUUGUUAUGAGGACUAAAUGAGUAAUACACUAAGAUUAGAAUUGAUGUCUAUUUAAGUAUUACCUAUUAUUAUUCUUCUAGAAGUCUCCUUUCAGUAAUUGCGCCUCCAUUUAUCUAGAAGGUCAUUGUAGCAACUUGGCAGCUAUCCUUGACACCAUCCUCACCUCCCACAUACAAGUCUUCUCAAAGCCCUAGCAUUUUUAUCUCCAAAAUAGAUUUUAAGUUCCACCCCUUCCCUAUUUCCAUUGCUACUAUGUUAGGCUAAAACACAGUCAUCUCUACCUGGACCGUGGCCAUUGUCCCGACUCACUCUCUAGCUUCAUCUCUUGUAGCCCCACAACCCAUCUUCAAACCCAACAGUUAGGCAGGGUUUUCAACCUCAGAACUCUUGGCAUGCAGGGCCAGAUUACUUUUUGUUGGGGUGGGGGGCGCUGUCCUGUACAUCGUAGCAUCUAUCAGCCUCCCUGGUCUCUUACCCACUAGACACUAGUAGCACCUCCUCCCUGCCCAGCUGUGACAACCAAAAAUAUCUCCAGACAUUGCCAGUGGCUCUGGUUGAGAGCCACUGCCAUGCGGAGAUAGAACACAACACAGAAGGUUUCAGAACACGUAUGUCUUGACAAAGAUGAAUUAACUGCAGAUUGUACAGUCAAAACUAGAGCACGGAUGUCCCAACUCUGGUUGUAGUCCUCUUUCCUUUAGACCAAACUGCCUCCCAGUGUUUAAAGUAAAAUAUAACUCAGCACAAACAUAAGAUGAUUACCUUACCUGGCAAAGGGGAAUUAAGAUAGCUAAUCAAUUGACCUUAAGACAGGGAGAUCUCUUGCAUUAUCUGGGUGGGCCCGCUAUAAUCACAAGGGUCCUUCAGUUUGUAAGAGGAAGACACAGAAGGUCAGAGCGAAGCCAUGUCAGAAGAACUUGACCUACUGGUUAUGGCUUUUUUUUUUUCCUUCUUUAAGUUAUAGAUGAUCCUAGAAGGGAAAGUAAACUAAUUAGAUUUCUCAGAUCACAUUCUUAUGAAAGAAAGAAGUAUUCAUGAUCUAUUUCUGAAUUUGAACAUAGUAACAGCUGAUGACAGGUAAUAAAACCACCAUUGAAGACA